AUGCUCCACGCGCUGCUCAAGUGGCCGACGGGCUGCGGCGCCGUGCUGCUGUGCUCGGAGAUGGGAGGCCCCGUUCUAAAGGCGCUCGUCGACGCGGCCGGCCUCGUCGCCUCCUACAAGAAGAGCACGUUGUGGCACCGUGUCCGGAGGGGCAGGGGCAUGGCCGCCCAGCUCCGGGACAUGCGGGACGUCGUCGACUCCUACUGCGGCCUCCUGCUCUUCGCCAACGCACAUCUCCUGCUUCCUGCCACAGCCGGCGACUCGUCGUCCCCCGUCAGAUGCCACCACGUACGGGGUUCAUGA
rnacentral:rRNA from 1 species